GAACGCUGGCGGCGUGCCUAAUACAUGCAAGUCGAGCGAACAGACGAGGAGCUUGCUCCUCUGACGUUAGCGGCGGACGGGUGAGUAACACGUGGAUAACCUACCUAUAAGACUGGGAUAACUUCGGGAAACCGGAGCUAAUACCGGAUAAUAUAUUGAACCGCAUGGUUCAAUAGUGAAAGACGGUUUUGCUGUCACUUAUAGAUGGAUCCGCGCCGCAUUAGCUAGCUGGUAAGGUAACGGCUUACCAAGGCAACGAUGCGUAGCCGACCUGAGAGGGUGAUCGGCCACACUGGAACUGAGACACGGUCCAGACUCCUACGGGAGGCAGCAGUAGGGAAUCUUCCGCAAUGGGCGAAAGCUUGACGGAGCAACGCCGCGUGAGUGAUGAAGGUCUUCGGAUCGUAAAACGCUGUUAUUAGGGAAGAACAAAUGUGUAAGUAACUAUGCACGUCUUGACGGUACCUAAUCAGAAAGCCACGGCUAACUACGU
rnacentral:rRNA from 1 species